rnacentral:rRNA from 1 species
UACGUAGGGUGCGAGCGUUGUCCGGAAUUACUGGGCGUAAAGAGCUCGUAGGUGGUUUGUCGCGUUGUUCGUGAAAACUCACAGCUCAACUGUGGGCGUGCGGGCGAUACGGGCAGACUGGAGUACUGCAGGGGAGACUGGAAUUCCCGGUGUAGCGGUGAAAUGCGCAGAUAUCGGGAGGAACACCGAUGGCGAAGGCAGCCCCCUGGGCUAACACUGACGCUGAGGCACGAAAGCGUGGGGAGCAAACAGG